rnacentral:rRNA from 1 species
GAUCCUGGCUCAGAGUGAACGCUGGCGGUAGGCCUAACACAUGCAAGUCGAACGGCAGCACAGAGGAGCUUGCUCCUUGGGUGGCGAGUGGCGGACGGGUGAGGAAUACAUCGGAAUCUACUUUUUCGUGGGGGAUAACGUAGGGAAACUUACGCUAAUACCGCAUACGACCUACGGGUGAAAGCAGGGGACCUUCGGGCCUUGCGCGAUUGAAUGAGCCGAUGUCGGAUUAGCUAGUUGGCGGGGUAAAGG